UUCUGAAGGUUCAAUAUACAUAAACUUUGUUUUACGCAAAAAUUUAAAAUAUUGCGUAAAAUUACCUUUAGGCUGUAUGUAUUAAGUAUACAUGAAACAUAAA